rnacentral:rRNA from 1 species
UUCGCCCUUAGAGUUUGAUCCUGGCUCAGGAUGAACGCUGGCGGCGCGCCUAACACAUGCAAGUCGAACGGCACCCCUCUCCGGAGGGAAGCGAGUGGCGAACGGCUGAGUAACACGUGGAGAACCUGCCCCCUCCCCCGGGAUAGCCGCCCGAAAGGACGGGUAAUACCGGAUACCCCGGGGUGCCGCAUGGCACCCCGGCUAAAGCCCCGACGGGAGGGGAUGGCUCCGCGGCCCAUCAGGUAGACGGCGGGGUGACGGCCCACCGUGCCGACAACGGGUAGCCGGGUUGAGAGACCGACCGGCCAGAUUGGGACUGAGACACGGCCCAGACUCCUACGGGAGGCAGCAGUGGGGAAUCUUGCGCAAUGGGGGGAACCCUGACGCAGCGACGCCGCGUGCGGGACGGAGGCCUUCGGGUCGUAAACCGCUUUCAGCAGGGAAGAGAAGAGACUGUACCUGCAGAAGAAGCCCCGGCUAACUACGUGCCAGCAGCCGCGGUAAUACGUAGGGGGCGAGCGUUAUCCGGAUUCAUUGGGCGUAAAGCGCGCGUAGGCGGCCCGGCAGGCCGGGGGUCGAAGCGGGGGGCUCAACCCCCCGAAGCCCCCGGAACCUCCGCGGCUUGGGUCCGGUAGGGGAGGGUGGAACACCCGGUGUAGCGGUGGAAUGCGCAGAUAUCGGGUGGAACACCGGUGGCGAAGGCGGCCCUCUGGGCCGAGACCGACGCUGAGGCGCGAAAGCUGGGGGAGCGAACAGGAUUAGAUACCCUGGUAGUCCCAGCCGUAAACGAUGGACGCUAGGUGUGGGGGGGCGAUCCCCCCGUGCCGCAGCCAACGCAUUAAGCGUCCCGCCUGGGGAGUACGGCCGCAAGGCUAAAACU